rnacentral:rRNA from 1 species
AACGCGUAGGUAACCUGCCUGGUAGCGGGGGAUAACUAUUGGAAACGAUAGCUAAUACCGCAUAAUAGUAGAUGUUGCAUGACAUUUGCUUAAAAGGUGCAAUUGCAUCACUACCAGAUGGACCUGCGUUGUAUUAGCUAGUUGGUGAGGUAACGGCUCACCAAGGCGACGAUACAUAGCCGACCUGAGAGGGUGAUCGGCCACACUGGGACUGAGACACGGCCCAGACUCCUACGGGAGGCAGCAGUAGGGAAUCUUCGGCAAUGGACGGAAGUCUGACCGAGCAACGCCGCGUGAGUGAAGAAGGUUUUCGGAUCGUAAAGCUCUGUUGUAAGAGAAGAACGAGUGUGAGAGUGGAAAGUUCACACUGUGACGGUAUCUUACCAGAAAGGGACGGCUAACUACGUGCCAGCAGCCGCGGUAAUACGUAGGUCCCGAGCGUUGUCCGGAUUUAUUGGGCGUAAAGCGAGCGCAGGCGGUUAGAUAAGUCUGAAGUUAAAGGCUGUGGCUUAACCAUAGUACGCUUUGGAAACUGUUUAACUUGAGUGCAAGAGGGGAGAGUGGAAUUCCAUGUGUAGCGGUGAAAUGCGUAGAUAUA